UACGUAGGGGGCUAGCGUUGUCCGGAUUUAUUGGGCGUAAAGAGCGUGUAGGCGGCCAUGUAGGUCCGGUGUGAAAACUCGAGGCUUAACCUCGAGAUGUCAUCGGAAACCAUUUGGCUAGAGUCCGGAAGAGGAGAGUGGAAUUCCUGGUGUAGCGGUGAAAUGCGCAGAUAUCAGGAAGAACACCAAUGGCGAAAGCAGCUCUCUGGGACGGUACUGACGCUGAGACGCGAAAGCUAGGGGAGCAAACAGG
rnacentral:rRNA from 1 species